rnacentral:tRNA from 1 species
UCCCUGGUAGCUCAGUGGUAGAGCAAUCGGCUGUUAACCGAUUGGUCGUAGGUUCGAAUCCUACUUGGGGAG